rnacentral:rRNA from 1 species
UACGGGGGAUGCAAGCGUUAUCCGGAUUUAUUGGGUUUAAAGGGUGCGUAGGCUGUAAGGUAAGUCAGCGGUGAAAUGCCCCCGCUCAACGGGGUGAAGUGCCAUUGAUACUGCCUUGCUGGAAUGCGGAUGCCGUGGGAGGAAUGUGUGGUGUAGCGGUGAAAUGCAUAGAUAUCACACAGAACACCGAUUGCGAAGGCAUCUCACGAAUCCGCGAUUGACGCUGAUGCACGAAAGCGUGGGUAUCAAACAGG